rnacentral:pre_miRNA from 11 species
GUCCGCACGGGAUAAUCUAUUAUCCCGUGCGGUUGGGUUAUACCAACCGCACGAGAUAAUAUAUUAUCCCGUGCGGCC